rnacentral:rRNA from 1 species
UACGUAGGGGGGCUAGCGUUGUCCGGAAUCAUUGGGCGUAAAGCGCGCGUAGCGGCCCGGUAAGUCCGCUGUAAAAGUCAAAGGCUCAACCUUUGAAUGUCAGUGGAUACUGCCGGGCUAGAGUCCGGAAGAGCGAGUGGAAUUCCUGGUGUAGCGGUGAAAUGCGCAGAUAUCAGGAGGAACACCAAUUGCGAAGGCAGCUCGCUGGGACGUUACUGACGCUGAGACGCGAAAGCGUGGGGAGCAAACAGG